GGGCCUGUAGUCUAGCCAGGCCAGGACGGUGGGCUCCAGACCCAUUGGUCGGGGUUCAAAUCCCCGCAGGCCCA
rnacentral:tRNA from 1 species